rnacentral:lncRNA from 1 species
GUUACAAGCACGUGGACCCACUCCAAAAUAAGGGCGAGCAUGGUACUUUGGGGAAUUGAGAGAAAUCCAUAUGGCUCUGCAGGAAGGAUCAGAGGAGACUAGCUGUGCUAGGUACUUACACCUCCCUUCAAGGAAGGACUUGGUGUCCAGCUGCACAGUGUGCGGUCAGCAGUCUACAGCUGUUCAGCUCCUUCAGGUGUUGAUCCUUAAUGAAAAUCUUGCUCCUUAAACUCUGUGUUAGAAUCAGCUCCUGGUGGAUCCAACUCCAACAGCAGAGGAACAGGAAGACUUUGUGUCAUGUGUGAUAAUAUCAUGAGGUUUCUCCUCAGAUGUGAAGGAGGUGAGGGUCCCUGUAGCCUAAUAGGGAUGGACUACAAGUCCAGUGAGCGAGAGAGCAACUUUAGAGUCUUCACUGAAGGAUCUGCAGGAAUGUGGUGACGACCAGGCAGAGGGUCUAUACUGAUAGUCAUCAUCAAUGACAACUGUCUGCAUCAAUGACAUGGCAACUUCCUCUCCAGAGUCAUGGUGGCGAGACACAAAUGACUCUAUUUCAUUUGAUGGUCCCCCUAUACUGACCCAAUCAGCAGGAAGUAGUCAGAAAGACAAGGAUGACCCUGUUCCUCUUAUAGCGUAUGAUUAUGCUGGGUUACAAUUGACAGUGAGGAGUUGUCGGCGCCACUCACAUGAACAGUCAUCUUUCCUAUACAUAUUAAAGAUUUUGUUCUUGUUAUCUUUAAACUAAAUCAGGUAUAACGCAUUGCUCUGGUCUCUGAUGCUUAUCCAGUAAAACAGAAGAUUAUCAGGAACUGAGACCAGAUGUCUGCCCCACCUGGAGACCAGCCUCUUAUAUAACUGGCUUGUAGUCUUUGUUCUGUGAGAUGGUUUUUUCAGACAUUAGUCAGCCAUCUUCCCCCUUGCUGGCAAGCUGCAAUAAAACCCUUUCUCUCCUACCACCUUGCUUCUCCACUAUUGGUGUGUCUUAAGGCUGGCAGAUGACCCACCCUGGGCAGUAACAAAUUGAAUUUCCACACCAUGACUUUUUCCAGGGACCCGAUUUUCUUGGAGGAAGAUAAAAGAGGGAUACGCUUGUGCUUUCCAUAAAACUGAAACGUACUGAAAUGUUUUAAAGUAAAUUUAAAAUUGACAUUUUAUAUUUUUACUAUCACAAUUAUUGAUUUUUGUUUUUUACUUUUUUAUUUAUUGGCCUAUUAAAAUUGAUUUCUAUUUCCUCUUU